AGUCAACGCCAUACCACCCUGACUGUGCCUCAUCUCGUCUGAUUUUGGAAGCUAAUCAGGGUCGGCCCUGGUUAGUACUUGGAUGGGAGAAGUAUGAGCUGGGCUUUAGAUA
rfam:Cavia porcellus supercont2_20 genomic scaffold, whole genome shotgun sequence.